UGGCGUUCGCGCAACUGGCGAUGAGGUCGGGCUUGUCUGGUCCGGCCAAGGUGGGUCACCACCGGGGAGCGCGAACAAUGGGGACCACAGCGGUGCAAAGCCGCCAGCGGCCCUCGUUGUCCGUGCCGUUCGCCUGGGCCGCCACU
rnacentral:ncRNA from 1 species